rnacentral:lncRNA from 1 species
UUAUGCUUAUUUACGAUAGGUUUAGAAUUAGUUAGUUGAUUGUUGUGCUGAUUUACGCCAGGUUUAGGAUUUGUUAGUUGAUUAUUGUGCUGAUUUAUACCAGAUUUAGGAUUUGUUAGUUGGUUGUUAUGCUAUUUUACGACAGGUUCAGGAUUUGUUAGCUGAUUAUUAUGCUAAUUUACAACAGGUUUAGGAUUUGUUAGCUGAU